AGCGCUCGGGGCCCGCCGGCCUCUCUAGCCACCGUCGCCUCGAUGGUGGGCAGCCGCGCGCAGCCUUCAGCGCCAGACGGGGGCGCCGGUUCCGCAAUCCACCGCGUGCGGGGCCAGGACUGCUUCGCUGGCGAGACUGCGCCGAGAUCUUUGGUUGCUUGAGCCUCAGGGAUUGCUAUCGGGUGGGGACGGUCACCGAAGGACACGGGGUCCCCUCACGGGCUCUGGUGCGCACCCGGUGGAGCGGCAUUGCUUUUUUCCCCGCUCCCUCACCUGGCCUCAGGUUCGCCAGACGUUUUCAUUUUGUAGCGUCUUUUCGACAGGCAUCCCGGAGAGAAUCUUCAAGAAAAGGAAAGGCAAAGCUAUAGCCUGUGGCAAAGAUAACAGCAUCAAUGUCAUCCUCCCUGGAGCCAUCCUCAAAUAUGGCCGCUGUCUCUGUGAAUUCCUUCACGUUUGAUUUCACCUUCACCAAGCCAGAAAUUAUACAGUUUGGCAGAAAGUCAUUUACCGUUGGAUGCUGACUCAGAGCUCUGUGAAUGAUGAUAAAGAAGGAGAGAUCAUGAGAGAGAGAGAUCAUUACCAUAAGGAUUAGACUUCUUUUUUCCAUUCGGGAAGUGAUGAAGAGUGAAGAGGAAAAUUCCUCCAACAUCCUAUUAGUGAAAAGCUUUCAAUGACUGAGUACACUUUCCUUCAGAUAAGAGCAUUAUCACUUCUACUGGCCAACAGGUGAUCCACACUCUGAACGCUGCAUUCUAACAAGCUCUCCCAGCAAUCACCUGGUCUUCCUCAGAGCCAGAAGCACACUCUGAAGAGACAGCUGAGUGAGAUUAUGAGCACAGUUUGUGGUCAUGACCAAAUUCCUUAGUGUGAGGCCAAGUGAAUAAUGGGAAUCUAACUUUUAACCUUGGCUCCAUCACAUCAUCAGUCAAAAUGUUGCCAACUGAGGCAGUGAAACCAAGCCCUGCAUUUGCCAUUGGCACUGAUGGGCUGUGUGCAGGUAUCCGUACACUCUGCUGGGUCCACUUGCAGCUUCCUUGGUGAAGCAAAGUAAAUAAUUUACUAAUUCAAA